GCAUGCCUCGCACCCUACG
rnacentral:misc_RNA from 1 species